GUUUGAUUCACUUGAGGGUGGGCAAUGAAAGGUGAGGAGUGAGAGAGAAUUUGUGAUAUAGCAAGUUUACUUGGAGUAGGAAAGGAACAGUUGUUAAUGGUGAUGCCAAGAAGUGCCACUGCCAUCACAGAGAUCAGAGCUGCUGAGGAUAUAAGCAUAUGAAGCUAGGAGAGGGUUGGAGAGGCUUAAGAGAUGAUUGAAGUGGCUGCCAGCUGCGAUUUCCUAUUUGCCAAGGACUAGACCUGGAAAUACUGAACUAUGGACCCUCCUCUUAAGAAUCAACAUGGCCUUCUUCCAAGGUAAAACCUGCAUUUUAGACUAGCUUUGGGGGGGGGGGUACAUUAUUGAUGCCUGUGGCAUGUGGUGACAUUUUCCAUAGGCGAAAAAUUAGGGCCAGAGGUGCCAGUGAUUGCAGGGAGGAAACGUAUGUGAGCAUCACGCCUCCUUCUCAAAGCUGGGCUUUUUGGGAAAGUGGCAGAAGAGCUCUUGGGCCCCCUUGGAGAAUCAUACCUCUCUCCCUACUCUAAUUUACUGGGAAUCUUUAGGAGACUAGCCUAGUCCCCCUAGUCCACUGACCACAAGCCACUGAUCAAUGCUGAUGUUGUAAUAGUUUAUCAGAAGAACACUUCCACAUGAGUUUGGCCAGAGUCUUGAAGAAGUCCUUUCUCUUUCGGGUGGGGAUCACAUAUGGUUUGCUACAUAUGCUAACCAGCCCUAUAUGAACACCCCCAGCCUAUCCCUGCAUAUUUGUAAUGAUGUGGAUUUCAGAGAGUAAGAGACAGAGAGGUGGUGAAACAACAUCUGUUACUGGUUCAAUUCAUUGUUAGCUGAGUUAUUGUUGCGAAUUAGCCACAGCCUAGUGAAGAAAGACUGCAAUUAUGGCUGAUCUAUGAAGUGCUUUUUUUUCCCCUAAAAAAAAUGUUUAGGUGUAGUCUCAUUUUAACUCAAGAAAAUCACCAUGUUAUUGUUCAAAACAGGAAAAAUAAAUACAGUAAAUGGACAAAAGUACAAAGAUUCACAAAAUGUUUAGGGGUAUGCAUACCUCUGUGUAUCCCCAGAAAAAAGCACUGGAUCUAUGUAUUGUAUUUCUAGAUUUCAGCAUGCUUUAUAAUGUAAUAGAGCAUUGCUUAGCUUCAGUCAUUCAAAGCACUUUUAGCCCACUCUUCGGUUAAAAAGUCUCCCAGAGCAGCUCACAAAGAUGAAAAAUAAGACAGUGCCUACCCUCAGUCCUACAGUCCAAAAGAUGCAACACAAAAAGGAAAAAGGACUUGAAGCGCAGAGGGGAAAGAGCAUACUCAGGCAAGUUCUUAGUUACAAUAUGACACUGCCACUCCCAGAGCAAAUGGACUUGCUGUGAACAGAAGCUUCAUUCCUUAUACUGUAUACUUAAAUCCUUGUGGUAUAGGUGACCAGCAAGACAAGGUUAAACAAAAUCAUUGCCAAGGUGGAGGAGGGGGAAGUGCUCACUUUAUAAAAUUAAACUUAUAAAGUGAUAAGAUCUAUCUGUACCAUUUUCAAAAUUAAAUAUAAAAUAUUUCAUUAUACAGUGUGUGUCCAUGAAGAAUGGGACCUGUUUUGUGAACUUGUCCUGGGUCUGGUGUGUGGCUCGGAAAAUGAUGAGAGAUACGAUGUCACCUAUUCUCUGUGCAAUAAUAGAUCUGUCGGAGUAUGACACAUAGAAUUAGACUUUCUGCUGUGAUUAAUCAAGUCCACUCAAAGUAGAAAUGCUACCAUCUCACACUAUUGCAUGAAACCAGUAGGGUGCAAUAUAUUCAUGAAAAAGGCACUUGGAAAACUGCAGUGGAAGCCAUUAUCUUCUGCACUGUAAGGCAUUUUGCCUCUGGAAAAUAUCUUACUACUGCUACCAACAUUUAAAUUGAAAUUAAGAAGCAAAACUCUGUGUUGACUUGAGUACAAUUCUAUAUAACUUUCUGCAGAUUAAGAGAGACGUAAGAACCGAUAGUACUUUCCAGAUUUGGCUUUCUUUUCAACCUUUUUCCUUCCACUUCUUAAGAUAUUUCAAAGUUAUUUCAAUAAGAUCAAUAAGAUCAUCGUAAUAAUAAGUGUAAUUCUACCAGCCUUUUGGAGAAAGCUUGGAUGAAUUAGCCAUUUAUCUUCACUAUAAAACACAUAGAUGGUCACUAUGAUCCAACUAAUUGUUUAUCUAAAAAAUAUGUAUUAUUCUUAUUCUUAUUCUUAGGGCUUCUUUCAGUUGGAACUCACCAGAACUCAGUUCUGGCACCUCUCAGGUGGGUGCCAUUGUCAUUCUAAGAGAACAAGGGAGGCUUUUAUGGUGAAUUCUGACACCUCUUGAUGAUUAAUUCUUUUACAUCUGUUUUUAUCCUAGGGGCUUAGAGCAUCUUACAAGUUCCUCCCCCCUCUUAUUCUCACAACAGUCCUGCAAGCCAAAUUAUGGGGAUAAAGACUGACUAACCCAAGAUGUCCUAGUGAGAUUCAUAGCUGAAUGGGAUUUGACCCAGGAUGCUUGUUCCCAGUCUUAAGCUGGGCACUCUGAUCGCUGCCAUAUGUGGGAAUGGGGAUGUACAUUUAAAAGUGCCAGCAAACUGCUGUUAGGAAGCUCAAAGGGCAACAAUCCAUGCCACCUUACUGGCCUGGCCUGUCUUAUAUACACACACAUACAUGGUAGCGACUUAAAAACAGCAUGGUGUCAUCGUAUCAGGAAAAUCCUUGUGUGGUUGCAGCUAUAUACACAUAUGCUGGCUUCAGCCAUAAAGCAUGUUUUCCCAAGCAUUGCGAAAACUAUGAAAAUCUUCUCAGAGCAUGUGCUACAAUGCAGGCUAAUGAAAAUGUUCACUCAAGUACCACCAGCCCACCUGCUUUCAGGAUAAAGCUGAUUCUGUAAUACAUGGGAGCCAAACUCCACCGCAGGUUUAGGCAUGGUGAAAUAGUUUCAGACAAUAGUUCGGCUUAUUUCUUAGAAAAAGCACAUGUGCUCUUGUGGGGGUUUGGCAGGAAUAAAUUUAGAAGAAAAGCUGCUCUAUUUAAAACCUGUAGAAAAGAAAAGAGGACAAGAGGAUAGACUCAGAUAAGCCAAACACAAAACAGGCAGGUGCCAACAAUGAUCGUCUUUCUUGCGGCCUUCCAUAAGGACUCCAGCUGCUAUCAACCUCAACCAGUAUGGCCUCCAACUCACAUCAACCUCAGUCAGGGAUGAAGGUAGUUGGAAUCCAACAGCAUCUGGAGGGCUGCAGGUUGCCCAUCCUUGCCUUUACAACUUGUGAUGCCUUAAAAAAAACACCCCACAGCUCACUCGUCACCCGAAGUGGUUGGUGGGAAGAGGUGGGGUGCACAUCUGUCCUCCCUGCAGCUGUGGCAUUGCUACCACUUAGCAGGAGGGAGGGGUGCAGUGGAGAAGUCAGCAAUGUGUGGGCCCACUGGUGGUCAAUCUGGAACUCCAGCUGCUGCGCCUGCACAGCACUGAUCUACCUACCACCUUGUUCUUCUCGUUUUGCUGCCUGCCUGGGACAGUAAAAACAAGGAGGAGGGGCGAUAGAUCAUGACUGAAUGACUGGCUGUGAUUACAGAUUGUGCAGAUCUGCUUUAAUGUUUACAUCAAGAAUGCAUUUUAACGAAAUGGGGAUAUCGGAAGCAAGGAUACAGAGAGUGAUGGUAUCAGUACUACAACGUCCUAUUGAUUAAAAUGUCUUAUGAGGGCAAGCUGCUAUAUAAAUUCUUUUAAAAGUUCAUUGUAUUCAGUGAAUAACCUACUGAAGCCGAGUUACAUGACCCUUAUGAGAUAUAAGCCAUUAUCAGCAUAGGGCCUCAAAAAAGAUGACACCAGGCUAGACCCAUGGCAUUUUCUACCUAUUUUCCAUCAACAGGACACCCUGCAUUUGGACUGUCCCCCCCCCCUUCUCUCAAGCAAUCUCUUUCUGUGCUUCAGUGUUCCUUGCAGUCCUGUGCUCACCUGAACCUGGCUGUGCCAUUGCCUAGUUAGCACACUCUUCAAGGUGAAUUACUAAGCCAAAUGACAUAAUGAACAAGAGACGAUGACGCCAAGGAAAGUUAUUGAUUUAUGAGCAUCUUUGCCAAAGCACUGUGACCUUCCUUCUAAGUUUUAUUUUGGAAUGUGCCAUCAGGAGUGUAAACAGUGGGAAAUGGCUGAGGGAAGGGAAGAAAAAGUGCAUCGAUCUCCAUAUUGGGGGGUGUGGCCUGUCCUCUCCUCAACAACAGUACUUUCUUUUGCUACUCAGACUCUUGGCUUUCAUUUUAUAUGCAACCAAUAUAAAUAAUUAUAAAGCUCAGAAAGGUCCAGUUGACUCAUUCAGCCUCGAGGAGUAGUGACACCAGUGAUAAGGGUAUAUCAGCAUGACAAACUUCUGUUGGUUUUAUACCAAUCUGUCAUGGCUUCCUCGCCGCAUGCCCACUUAACUGAAACUUCUGUUGCCAAGGAACUUGGGGUAUAUGCAUUUUGUUGGACAAUUUGCAAGGACUUGGCCUUCUUCUGCAAUUUCAUAAUGAUUCCAUGAGCUGUCAAAUGCUCUGUUCCUUCUGUUCGGAAUGGAGAGGUAGUGGGACUGCAACUUUCAUACUCGUGCAUAUAUUAUUGACCCAAUGCUAAGCAAUUAUUGUUUUCAAAGGGAGAAGGCCCCAAAUGUGCUUCAUUCUCCCAUCAAUAUCAAUGGGAUUUUAAUGGACCUCAAUGGCUUUCAAAAUAAAUUGCUGUAGAUAUGCUGCAUGAAAAUGACUCAUUACAUGAAUUGACUCUUCACUGUUUGGUUUGCUGGAAUGUUAACAAUGUUGUUGUGAACACUGUGAAAUUUUUUUAUUAAGGAGACCAUUUGGCCAUAAAGCAUUCACUAAAAUAAAUUGUACUUUCACCCAAGGUUUAUAAAUAUACAUAUUUGCAUACAGUACUUUUCUUCUAGAAAAAAGGUACUGGUACUACGUAUCCUUGAGUACCCCCCAGGAAAGAAAAGCACUGCUUGAAUAAAUAAAUAUGUUAAAAUGCAAUAAAACUCAG
rnacentral:lncRNA from 1 species